CAUGUCUUUUUGACUAUAAUUUAAAGUCUAAUCUGCUCAAUGAAUAAUUAAAUUGCCGCGGUAUUUUGACUGUGCAAAGGUAGCAUAAUAAUUAGUUUUUUAAUUGAAAGCUGGAAUGAAUGAUUGGACGAGAAAAUUUCUGUCUCUUUAGGAAUUUUAUUGAAUUUAACUUUUAAGUUAAAAGGCUUAAAUUUUUGUUAAAGACGAGAAGACCCUAUAGAGUUUUAUAAUAUAAAAAGUUUUAUAUAAUUUUGGGAUUUAAUUUCCAACUUUUUUUUUAUUUUGUUGGGGUGACAAAAAGAUUAAAUUAACUCUUUUAAGAUAAGGACAAUUAUUUUUGAUUUGAAAAUCUGAUUUUAAUCAAGUUUAAGUUAAAUUACCUUAGGGAUAACAGCGUAAUUUUUCUUUAAAGUUCUUAUUAAAAGAGAAGUUUGCGACCUCGAUGUUGGAUUAAAAUUAAUUUUGGGUGUAGAAGCUUUAUAAAUUUGGUCUGUUCGACCUUUAAAAUUUUACAUGAUCUGAGU
rnacentral:rRNA from 1 species